rnacentral:rRNA from 1 species
UACGGAGGGGGCGAGCGUCAUUCGGAAUUAUUGGGCGUAAAGGGCGCGUAGGCGGCUGGACAAGUCAAAGGUGAAAUCCCUCGGCUCAACUGAGGAACUGCCUUUGAAACUGUCCGGCUUGAGUCCGGGAGGGGGUAGUGGAAUUCCCAGUGUAGCGGUGAAAUGCGUAGAUAUUGGGAGGAACACCAGUGGCGAAGGCGGCUACCUGGACCGGAACUGACGCUGAUGCGCGAAAGCGUGGGUAGCAAACAGG